UACGAAGGUGGCAAGCGUUGUUCGGAUUUACUGGGCGUACAGGGCGCGUAGGCGGUUGGAUAAGCCCUCCGUGAAAUCUCCAGGCUUAACCUGGAAAGUGCAGAGGGGACUGUUCAGCUAGAGGAUGGGAGAGGAGCGCGGAAUUCCCGGUGUAGCGGUGAAAUGCGUAGAGAUCGGGAGGAAGGCCGGUGGCGAAGGCGGCGCUCUGGAACAUUUCUGACGCUGAGGCUCGAAAGCGUGGGGAGCAAACAGG
rnacentral:rRNA from 1 species